GACGUAGGGCGCGAGCGUUGUCCGGAUUUAUUGGGCGUAAAGAGCUCGUAGGCGGCUUGUCGCGUCGUCCGCGAAAACUUGGGGCUCAACCCCAAGCUUGCGGUCGAUACGGGCAGGCUAGAGUUCGGUAGGGGAGACUGGAAUUCCUGGUGUAGCGGUGAAAUGCGCAGAUAUCAGGAGGAACACCGGUGGCGAAGGCGGGUCUCUGGGCCGAUACUGACGCUGAGGAGCGAAAGCGUGGGGAGCGAACAGG
rnacentral:rRNA from 1 species